CCUUUCUUUUCUAUUUUUAUUUAUUUAUUUAUUUAUUAAAUUUAAUUAGCAGGUAACUGUUAAUUUAAUUUAACAGGUUACUUCAGGUGUGCUGAGGACACACAAAAGCUGUAUCACACCACAACAAAUCAGCUGCCUUGUGCCAUCUUGGUAAAUGGAAAGAAGCAAAGCUUUCAGCCUCUGAGCGCUUAUGCAGAAAUCCAGGAUACAUGCAGUGUUUGACCCCACAAUUGUACAGCCAGCUGGAAAAGUGUGGAUGAAGAUGAGCUAUAAAGAGCCUUUUCCAACAGCCCUGUUCUAGGAACCUUCCCACUCAGGUCAGAAGCUGAGAGAAACUUAGUUUUCCGAAGAGGGUCACCUGAGGGGCACAAACCCAUCCCUGUGCCUCCCAGCAUGAAGGGCUGUCCUUAAGUAACUCUGUUGCAUAGCGCUGUGACUAAAGAGCCAUAUUAACCCAUAAGAAAUCUCUGAAGAUAUCAGUAUUAGUAUUUUCAUGUGUUUCUUAACCAAAUAAUAGAUUUUUGUAGUGAGGAUGUUCUUUGGUAGACCAUUAAGCUCUCAUGUAUUUAAAAGACACUGUUUUUUUAUUAAAUGUGUUUUUGUGCUUGAAAUCACAGUUUGUUUCUGGCAGUUCUGAACUCCACUGGGUUAGUUUUCCUCCACACCUUUUUUCAUUAUGACUGCCUUUAAUAAAAACUGAUUAUUCUGUGUCUCUUUUAUGCUCUUGGCUUUUAUCACUGUGACCAAUGAUGGAACUGGUUCCAACCACGGUGAGUCUGCUUUUACAUUCAACUGUAUCAGUCAAUGGAUGCCUUCUCCUCCCACAGAGAAAAGCUAAUUGUUGCUCUAAAUUUACUGCAGCGAAUCAAAGAAAAAUAUUACCUUACAGCCAUCGGUGCCUUUCUCUCAGUAAAGUCAGUAAAAACUCUUUCUGAUGCCGUGGGCCAUUAUAAAGAAAGCGGAUUGUUGGAAAAAAAGAUAAGUAUUAUUGUGUUCUCAUACUUACAGACUUGCUGGAUGUGAUCUCUCUGGUGGUUAUGAAACUCGUUCCAAGAAUAUCAGUUGCAAAUGAAUGCCAGUCCCCAGAUUCACAGGAUUGUUGUUGUUUGUUUCUAUUUUGUUUUAUUUUAUAUUUAUUUUUUUUACUUUUCAUUAUGCUGUAUUUAUCAAGGCAAGGUUUUUUUUUUCACCCUGGAGUGCAAUCACACUCCUACUUCAAGUCUGCCAGGAUCAGCAACACUCUUUGUGGAAGUGACCCAGCUGCACAUACAGCCCCAUAAAGAUGGAAAGAGGCUGCAGGAAGAAAAAGAGACGGAGAAGGAUGUUGUCCCCACCUGGCUGUUGUUCCCAGUCAGCUGGGCAGCCAGCUGGUUGCACUCAGACACGUAACAUGGAAGAGUGAUUUUCACCAGCUGAUGAUAACCAUGGAGAACUAAAGCCCUUGUACCCAGCCAUAUCUUUGUGUCUGUAUCUUUGUGCUGGGCCAUCAUGGUAAGACAACAAACCACCUUGGAGUGCCUCCCCACUGCGGGCUGUGCUCAGUGGGGUCCUCUGUGAGCUUAUUGAUGUGCUGGGGAAUCAAAAGGUGAGACACAAAAAAUAAGCACAAUUCAUGCAUAUGAAUAUGCUCAAGCACAGACGGUAACCUUUCCUCCUCCGACUGCCUGAGCAAUAAGUGCUUGUGAUAUCAAUACUUGAUGAGAAAGAACCAGGAACAAUUUCCAAAUCCUACUUUGGAAUUGCAGGUGGAGGAAGAGUUAAUUACUUUAGUUUACAUUAGUUUAAGUAAGUACAAAGCUCAUAAACUCAAGUUUUAUGAAGUUACAGAAGCUGCACUGAGCAAACAGCAGGAUAAGCAAUUACAUCUGCAAGGCAGUUUCCAGGUACAAUAUACACAAUACAUGAAUUUGUUGCUUGAUCACUUUUCAUUGCAUGUUCUGCUUCAUCUAAAAUAGCAUAUAGUUGAAUGUCUGCAUGUUUAUAUGUACACCUGUGCACAAACUUACAUUUAUGCCUACUUGCUUUAUACACUUUACAUACAUGUGUACAUAUAUUUCUAUGUGUGCGUAUAUAAGGACUGUUCCAAAAGUAAUGCCUUCUAUUUUAUGAUGUUGGCCUAUGACAUUAGAGGCAGAUGUUGGUGGUAUGGCAGUAGGAGUAGAACCUAUUUUCCAAUGUCCCAUUACAUAUUUUUUUUUGCCAUGUGACAGAUGGCAGCGGAGGGGCAGUCUGACAAAAUGGUUUCUGACAUGGAAGAGCACCUGAAGCAAAGGUGUGUCAUUGAAUUCCUCCAUGUGGAAAACAGUGUCCCCACUGACAUUCAGCAAUGCUUGCUGAAGGCUUAUGGAGGCCAACAAGAAGAUGUAUGUGAGCACAGUGAGGCAGUGGGUGGUACAGUAGCAGUGAUGGUGACAGUGGGUCACCCCAACUGGUGCAGAUUUUGAUGAGUGCAGAAAGAAAGCUAAGAAAGCUCUUGUUCAUCGCUGGAAAUGAAUAGGAGUCAUCACUUUGGGAGUGAUCUACAUGUUUUAUAUAACGUGUAUACACAUACACAUAUCUAUAUACAUGCACAUGUACAUAAGUGAUAGGUUGCUUUAACACUGACAGCUAUUUUUAGCUGAGUAAAUAACAGGAAACAUUUCUAGAGUCUGAGCUUCUGCCAGCUGUUAAAAUCUAGCCAAGAAUCAGAGGGGUUUGUUUGUGGGUUUUGAGACUAGAUUAAUUAACGUCAUAUUUUAACUUCCAGACAAUGCCUGAUUUUGGCUAAUUUUUGCAUUCUUCUACAUUCCAGGUGAUGCAAUAAGGUAAAGCUUCCAGGUGUUUCAGCAGAGAGAGCAAAGGCUGGAGAACUUUGUGCAGCUCUGAUUGCUGUGUUGAAGAUGCCAUUCAGAGGAUGCAGGUGCAAACAGGCCACGAGGACAUGCAGAGGGACAGGGAAUGUGCCAUUGAGGAGAAGAGCUCUUUUACCAAGGAGGUAUGCUUGCUUUCCAGCAAUGAUGCCAGAAGGUGGGGAAAUAAACACCAGGGAUAAAAACAGUUUUAAGAGGGCCAGAGAUAGAUAAAGUUUACCCUGAAGCAGGUUUGAGCAGUAUAGACUGAAGUAAUUAUUGUAUUUAACACAGAAAUUUGUCAGCCUCUAACGCUGGCCCAGAUCAUACACAUGAUGGCUACCAGGCCUGUGCGAACUCUUCCCAGCCCGCUAUCCCAGCUACUCUCCUCCAUUUGUGCUAUAUUUUAUGGAGAUUUAGCAUUUGAACACAGCUAAAAAGCCAAGAAGGAGAUGGCAGCAUACAGAGAAGAAAUCAAACUGCACAGCAUGGCACUCAUGGGGCUCUCCUGGGAACAGGAAGCAUCACUGGCUCCUGAGAUCAUGUCAGCUCUGACUGACUGCACAGAUGUGCAUUGUUUAUCCAACCAAAGAGGAUCUUUCCUUUUACAACAGUGAGCUACGUCUACGUCCUCUGCAUAGAAGGCCGUGCUCCUUUAAAACGAGGCAUUUGAUUUGUUUAAAUGUGUCUGGACAAGGAUCAAAAGUGCACAUCAGGUGGGGCCUCCAGGUUCUGACCUCUCAGAGGGGCCAAGGAGCUGAAAAUGCACAGGCAGCACUGCUCCUCAGGAUAGCACACCCAGCCACCAUUCCAUACCAGCACCUAUUUAAACUGAGGAGCAGUGUCAGGAUCUUCCCCGGUGGUUAUCACAGCUGGAAGCUGCUACCAGGCACAUACACAGGCUCUAAGUUUAUAUUAGAAAUCAUAUUCUGCAAUUAGCAGAUCCUCUGGGAUCCUUUCAGAAGGAGAUUCAAAAAUAAACACCUACCAAGAACAUGGUGUUUUCCAAUAAAGUAUUCUGCUGACACUGCUGUUCUUGAGUAAUAUGCUGUGAAGAAGCAGAUACAGAGCAAAUAUUUAGAGCAGCAAAGAUGCAAGACUCACUGUAUUGUGCUAUUGUAUGGUUAAAGAAUCUUAAUGCUUGGAGAGGAAAGAGAGCAAGAACUUGAAGCAACAGUGAUAAAACAUUAAAGCUUUGGGAGACAAUGUCGUAGACAGCAGUUUUUGUAGUCAUUGCUAUCAGAAGAUUGACAGCCAGCUUGGAAAUAAAGGCCUGGUUGGCUGUGAUGAAAUGCUCGGUAACUGCCUGUCAGUUUUAGCUGAGGAAAUUAGCAAAUGACUCAUGGGCUGCAAGCAGCAGGGAGCCUCAUCCGUCAUCUCCAGAGAAGCCAUCACUUCAUGCACUCUGCUGUUGCUUAACUGAAGGACGGCGCAAAAUAAAAUGCAAAAGGUCAUAAAUAAAAUGUUUCAGGAACACA